CCAGUAUAAAUGCAUUUGCUAUGUCAUAUGAAUUGUUAAUAUCAAACAUACUCUAACAAAUGUUAAAAAUCCAAGGAGAUACUAAAGAAGUAUGCAUUUUUUUCUUAAAGGAGUCUCAGAAAACCUUAAAGGUCUUUCAGAGAAGAUUCUUGAAUUGAUUAUAUUGAUUAUUUGGAGAAAGAAAUCAAUUUAUAGUAAUAGUUAUUGUGAUAUUUGAUUUUUUUUUUUUUUUUAAUGUAAGGAAACACCGCAGGACACAGGCAAAAUCUUACAGUAACUCCUUAAAUGGAUCUCGUCGGCAUCAAGAGCGCUCUCAUAGUGAUGAUCAUAAUGAGGAGAAUUAUCUUGGUAGGAGCCGUGAUAGAACCCGACAACGAGACCAAAGGGACAGAGAUCGUCAGCGUUAAGGAUAAAAAUCAACACUUUCCUGAUUACACCUGACCCUCUUUAUGUCUGAUGUGUGCCAACAGAGGAAUGUGGCAUAAAGAUUCACAACAUGCUGAUGUUGUAUAUAGUCUGAUCAUCAAGGAUCCUUAGAACAACUGUGAAAGGAGCUCAGUUUACUUACAUCUCAGUACUGCAUUGUGUUUUUCUCGAAGAUUCCAGUCAAAUUUGUACUGAUAAUCCGUUGUUGUUUGGACUUCAUUUUAGGAAGUAGUUUUUCAGUUACUUAUUUUUUGUUAUUAAAGUGGCCACUGCAGAAAUAAAUUAGAUAAUUUAUAUGCUCCCACGCCCCAAGCUAAUCUGUAAGUCGGAGAGCUUUCCUUUGCUACCUUUGGCUAAGUACUGGUUAAGUACUGCCUGAGGUAUAGCACAUUAUCAAUGUUAAUGUUUUAUUUCCUAUUUUUUAUUCGUUUGCAUUUGCAUGUUUAUUAGAAUCUUGGAAUGUUUGUGGAAUUUGUUCAUACUUACAAGGUUCAGGUUUAGAAAGUCAAUGGAAACUGAACCACUUAAAGAAGAAGUUUCCAUCUUUCUAAGUUUUUUUUUUUUUUUUUUUUUUUAAACCAUUUCAAUGUUCCAAGUUUAAAGAGAAAAUGUUUUUUUUUUUUACUUUAGCUUUGAUCUCUGUUUGAAAAAUGAAACAUAACCUAAAAAGUAAUACAACCUACUUUUGUGGUGUCAAAAAAUAGCUUUUGUAUAAUACAGUAAAAACCUCUGUUUUGGAAAAUUU